UACACGAGCGGCGAACGGGUGAGUAACACGUGGGUGAUCUGCCCUGCACUUCGGGAUAAGCCUGGGAAACUGGGUCUAAUACCGGAUAUGACUUCAGGUUGCAUGACUUGGGGUGGAAAGAUUUAUCGGUGCAGGAUGGGCCCGCGGCCUAUCAGCUUGUUGGUGGGGUAAUGGCCUACCAAGGCGACGACGGGUAGCCGACCUGAGAGGGUGACCGGCCACACUGGGACUGAGACACGGCCCAGACUCCUACGGGAGGCAGCAGUGGGGAAUAUUGCACAAUGGGCGAAAGCCUGAUGCAGCGACGCCGCGUGAGGGAUGACGGCCUUCGGGUUGUAAACCUCUUUCAGCAGGGACGAAGCGCAAGUGACGGUACCUGCAGAAGAAGCACCGGCUAACUACGUGCCAGCAGCCGCGGUAAUACGUAGGGUGCAAGCGUUGUCCGGAAUUACUGGGCGUAAAGAGUUCGUAGGCGGUUUGUCGCGUCGUUUGUGAAAACCAGCAGCUCAACUGCUGGCUUGCAGGCGAUACGGGCAGACUUGAGUACUGCAGGGGAGACUGGAAUUCCUGGUGUAGCGGUGAAAUGCGCAGAUAUCAGGAGGAACACCGGUGGCGAAGGCGGGUCUCUGGGCAGUAACUGACGCUGAGGAACGAAAGCGU
rnacentral:rRNA from 1 species